rnacentral:rRNA from 1 species
GACGUAGGGCGCGAGCGUUGUCCGGAUUUAUUGGGCGUAAGAGCUCGUAGGCGGCUUGUCGCGUCGACUGUGAAAUCCCGCGGCUCAACCGCGGGUCUGCAGUCGAUACGGGCAGGCGUAGAGUUCGGUAGGGGAGACUGGAAUUCCUGGUGUAGCGGUGAAAUGCGCAGAUAUCAGGAGGAACACCGAUGGCGAAGGCAGGUCUCUGGGCCGAUACUGACG